rnacentral:rRNA from 1 species
CCUACGGGGGCUGCAGUGGGGAAUAUUGGACAAUGGGCGAAAGCCUGAUCCAGCCAUGCCGCGUGUGUGAAGAAGGCCUUCGGGUUGUAAAGCACUUUCAGUGGGGAAGAAAGCCUUGGGGCUAAUACCCUCGAGGAAGGACAUCACCCACAGAAGAAGCACCGGCUAACUCCGUGCCAGCAGCCGCGGUAAUACGGAGGGUGCGAGCGUUAAUCGGAAUUACUGGGCGUAAAGCGCGCGUAGGCGGUCUGAUAAGCCGGUUGUGAAAGCCCCGGGCUCAACCUGGGAACGGCAUCCGGAACUGUCAGGCUAGAGUGCAGGAGAGGAAGGUAGAAUUCCCGGUGUAGCGGUGAAAUGCGUAGAGAGCGGGAGGAAUACCAGUGGCGAAGGCGGCCUUCUGGACUGACACUGACGCUGAGGUGCGAAAGCGUGGGUAGCAAACAGGAUUAGAUACCCCUGUAGUC